CCUACGGGAGGCUGCAGUGGGGAAUAUUGCACAAUGGGCGUAAGCCUGAUGCAGCCAUGCCGCGUGUGUGAAGAAGGCCUUCGGGUUGUAAAGCACUUUCAGCGGGGAGGAAGGCGUUAAGGUUAAUAACCUUGGCGAUUGACGUUACCCGCAGAAGAAGCACCGGCUAACUCCGUGCCAGCAGCCGCGGUAAUACGGAGGGUGCAAGCGUUAAUCGGAAUUACUGGGCGUAAAGCGCACGCAGGCGGUCUGUCAAGUCGGAUGUGAAAUCCCCGGGCUCAACCUGGGAACUGCAUUCGAAACUGGCAGGCUAGAGUCUUGUAGAGGGGGGUAGAAUUCCAGGUGUAGCGGUGAAAUGCGUAGAGAUCUGGAGGAAUACCGGUGGCGAAGGCGGCCCCCUGGACAAAGACUGACGCUCAGGUGCGAAAGCGUGGGGAGCAAACAGGAUUAGAUACCCCAGUAGUC
rnacentral:rRNA from 1 species